rnacentral:rRNA from 1 species
CCUACGGGAGGCAGCAGUGGGGAAUAUUGGUCAAUGGGCGAAACCCUGAUCCAGCGAAGCCGCGUGAAGGAAGAAGUAUCUCGGUAUGUUAACCUCCUUUAGCCGGGAAGAAAAUGACGGUACCUGACUAAGAAGCCCUGGCUAACUACGUGCCAGCAGCCGCGGUAAUACGUAGGGGGCAAGCGUUAUCCGGAUUUACUGGGUGUAAAGGGAGCGUAGGUGGUGCAGUAAGUCAGAAGUGAAAGCCCGGGGCUCAACUCCGGGACUGCUUUUGAAACUGGGGGCCUGGAUUGAAGGAGAGGUAGGUGGAAUUCCUGGUGUAGCGGUGAAAUGCGUAGAUAUUAGGAAGAACACCAGUGGCGAAGGCAGCUUACUGGACUGUAAAUGACGCUGAGGCUCGAAAGCGUGGGGAGCAAACAGGAUUAGAUACCCGAGUAGUC